rnacentral:lncRNA from 1 species
GGAUAAAAUACGAAAACAUUAAAAUGCCAAGGAAAAUGACUGCUUCUGUCAGAAAAUGAUUGUGACAGAGGACACCCUGGGGCUUAUUCAACUUUCUUGGAUUUUGUGAGAGUGGAAAAUAUGCAAAUUUUUGUAAUAAUUUCAUAGCCAAGGAUCCAAGGUUGAGCUUCCUCUGUUCCCAAUCUACCAGGCUUGUUUCCUCAUUUUGCCACUAGAUGGCAAUUGCUCCCCAGAGCAUUUAAGCUCCAAGGAUGUAAAAUCUCCAAAGCUUCCCCGAGGCUUACUUUCAUGUUACAAAUCAGGCCUAGAGCUGCACCAAGUAACAGGGUGCCUUGCAAAGAGAAUUUGUUUUACUCAGUAAUUAAGAAAUCCAGGGCCCUUUCCUGAAAUUGAACCAGGGAAGGGGUGAUUGUCCAGAAGAGCCACACAUGACUCCCUCACUCCCUCAGCCAGCCUGGGUUUGCUCCUGCUGCCACAAGGCCUUUCCACUUGCCAUCGCACCCUCCUGGACCCGCUCCCCGCUGCAUUUGGACAGCAUGCUCUGUUAUGUCUUUACUUACAAGCUCGCAGCCCCCUUACCGUAAGUCCCAGGACAGCUGGGGCUGUGUCCUGUUCCCCAGACCAUCCCCAGCCUCAAUAACUGUGCCCACUACAUCAUAAUAAACAUUCACUUGAUAAGAGUACCAAAGUUCUCAAACGUUGCUCUUCCUCUAGCUGAAACAACACUUGCUGUUUUCCUUACGAAAGCAAAUCCAGGUGCCAGAGAAAGAGAGACACUCCAAACAGCCCGGAGCUGGAUGUGGCAAUGGUCCCCACCCCCCACCAGUGGAAAUCACAUCUCAUCUCCGACGUGUAUCUUGAGUCUCCAGUGAUGACGGUAAGGCUAAUAGACUAACCUGAGAUAGUUGGGGGAGAGUUAGGCAUGAUGCUUUCCUUUCCUUAUCAGUAACAUGGCUUCUAAUGUAAUAGUCAUUGUAGAGAAAAAGCUGUUGCCAAAAUCCCAGAUUCCUUUGUUUGGUACAUGCCUCAAACUCAAGUUAAUUCAUCCUCUCCUUCCACAGUCUGUCCCUGACGAUGGCGUCCCAGCUGCAGGACUUCAGUCAUUGUUCUCCUUGACCCCACAGAAAUCAUGGCUGGUGGUUCUGAAGCCCUGGAAGAAAUGUACCUCCCUAACCCCACCUCACUCCACACACAAUUACACUCAGGGUUAA